UGCGUAGGCGGAAUAUUAAGUCAGUGGUGAAAUCCUGCGGCUCAACCGCAGAACUGCCAUUGAUACUGAUAUUCUUGAAUGUAGUUGAGGUAGGCGGAAUGUGUAAUGUAGCGGUGAAAUGCUUAGAUAUUACACAGAACACCGAUUGCGAAGGCAGCUUACUAAACUAUGAUUGACGCUGAGGCACGAAAGCGUGGGGAGCGAACAGGAUUAGAUACCCUGGUAGUCC
rnacentral:rRNA from 1 species